UACGUAGGGUGAGAGCGUUAAUCGGAAUUACUGGGCGUAAAGCGUGCGCAGGCGGCUUUGCAAGACAGAUGUGAAAUCCUCGGGCUCAACCUGGGAACUGCAUUUGUGACUGCAAGGCUAGAGUACGGCAGAGGGGGAUGGAAUUCCGCGUGUAGCAGUGAAAUGCGUAGAUAUGCGGAGGAACACCAAUGGCGAAGGCAAUCCCCUGGGCCUGUACUGACGCUCAUGCACGAAAGCGUGGGGAGCAAACAGG
rnacentral:rRNA from 1 species